rnacentral:rRNA from 1 species
UACGUAGGGCGCAAGCGUUGUCCGGAAUUAUUGGGCGUAAAGAGCUCGUAGGCGGCUUGUCACGUCGGAUGUGAAAGCCCGAGGCUUAACCUCGGGUCUGCAUUCGAUACGGGCUAGCUAGAGUGUGGUAGGGGAGAUCGGAAUUCCUGGUGUAGCGGUGAAAUGCGCAGAUAUCAGGAGGAACACCGGUGGCGAAGGCGGGUCUCUGGGACGGUACUGACGCUGAGACGCGAAAGCGUGGGGAGCAAACAGG